UUUAUAGAGAAGAAAAGAAGAAGAGAUUAGUCAAUGUUGUUUCAAAGCGGCCUGUAAAUUUGGUGGCUCUGCAAAUUUGUAACAGAAAUGGCAUUUGUUUGGAAAAACCACUGCUUACUCUAAAUCCCUAUUAUUAUCCAAUUAUUCUCCCAAAUCCCUAAACUUUCUCUAUAAAUAUACCCUCUCCCUUUCAAUUCAUUACGCUCUCUACCUUCCAGUCAUUCCCCCCUUCAAAAGUGUUAAACCCCACAAACCAGUUUUGCACUCUUCUUACCAUAUGUGAAUUCUCUCUCCUUCUCUCUAACUUGGUGAGGCUAAUGCCAUUCCUAUCUCUGUCGAGAUUUUUUGAUGUUAAUGGCAUUAUCCUUGCCUUGUUUUCCAAAUGUGAUAUGGAAUUGCUCAUUUAUCAUACGUUUCAAUUUGUGCCUACCACCUAACCUCUUCCAAAUUAACAAAAGGGGAAAAAAU